AAGCCGAAGAAGAAAAAAAUAGUGUCUUUUUUACCUAAAUAGUAUAAAUUUCGUUCAAAGAGUGCAACUUUUAUCUAAAAAAGUAUAUUUCUUCUCUCAAAGAGUGUAAAUUUUUUCUAAAACAGUGCAACGCUCCCCUAAAACAAUACAAUAUUCUCCUGAAACAGUGUAACAUUUUUCUGAAACAAUGCAAAUUCAUCAUUUUCACUCUGAUUCUUCAUUUUUCUUAUAGAAAUCACUAUUUUUCUUUAUAUUUUACUGUUUAUUUAUUUAUUUUUUAUUUUCUGCAUAUUUUUUUUGGCUCAGCUCUCACCCACACUCGCUUCAAGUUCUCUUUCUCCGGCACAU
rnacentral:lncRNA from 1 species